UGGGGAUGCGGGGCUCCGGCCUCGGGCACCGCUGUGCUGAGUGCGGCCUUCCCUCCUCGCCCCAGCCAGACACCGGCGGAGGGGGAGCUGCGCUCCCAGCCGGUCCCCAAAACUGAUGGCUGUCAGGCAGUGGUAUAGGGGUUUUGAGGGGCAAGUCAGCAAAAGGAAUCUCUAAAAAGUACAGAAAUCGUGCUGGAAAAUAAGCGUACGGGGCUUGAAAGCACUGGGUCAGAGAGGGUGCAGAUGGCUGAACAUGAGACAACUUGAAGGCCAGUGGCCUCCAGGCCUGUAUCAGCAAUAGUGUGGCCAGCAAGAUGAGGACAGUGAGUGUGCUUCAGUACUUGGCAGUGGUGAGGUCAUGUCUCAAGUAUUGGCCUUGGGUUUGGGGCCCUCAUUUUAAAGCAAACAUUGAGGUGCUGGAGCGUGUCCAGGGAAAGGCAGCAAAGCUGGUGAAGCAUCUGAAGGACAAGUCUAAUGGAGGAGCAGCUGAGGGAGCUGAGGGUGUUUAGUCUGGAAAAAAGGAGGAACAAGGAGAACCUAAUUGCUCUUCAGAGCUACCUAAAAGGAGGGUGGAGUGAGGUUGGAGCCAGUCUCACAAGUAACAAGUGAUGGGACAAAAGGAAACUGCCUCAAAGUUGUGACAGGGAAGGUUUAGUUUGGAUAUGGAGCAAAUUAUAUUGAGUAUCCUCACAGCCUCACACAGCAUGUACAGGUAAUCAGGCCCAGCUAACAUGGGUUUAUUAAAGGCAGGUCCUGAUUGACUGACCUGUUCCUCUCUGACAGGGUGACCCACUUAGUGGAUGAGGGAAAGGCUGUGGGUAUGUCUACCUAGACAUCAGUAAAGCCUUUGACAUGGUUUCUCACAGCAUUCUGGAGAAACUACUGCUCAUGGCUUGGACAAGUGUGUUCUUCAUUGUGUAAAAAAACUGUCCAGAUGGCCAGGCCUAGAGAGAGUUGGUGAAUGGAGCUACAUCCAGCUGGUCACUGGUUACCAGUGGUGUUCCUCAGGGCUCAGUGUUGGGGUCAGGCACAUUGAAUAUCUUUACUCAUGAUCUGAUUGAGGAGACCAAGAACACCCUCAGUCUGCUUACACAAGUUGAGCAGAAAUGUUGAUCUGCUGGAAAGUUGGAAGGCUCUGCAGAGGGAUCUGCAGAGGGAUCUCACCAUGGGGUGAGUCCAGUGGUACAAGGUUCAAGAAGGCCAAAUACCGGACCCUGCACUUGGGUCACAACAACCCCUGCAGUGCUACAGGCUGGGGGGAGAGCGUCUGGAAAACUGCCUGAUGGAAAAGGACCUGAGAGUAUUGGUGGACAGCAGCUGAACAUGAGCCAGUGAGUGCCCAGGUGGGCAUCAGUCUCUUCUGCCCCCUUCAGGGGAGGGUUAGAUUGGAUACUGGUAAGAAUUUCUUCUCCAGAAGGGUUAUUAAACACUGGAGCAGGCUGCCAGGGGCAGUGAUGGAGUCACCAUCCCUGGAGGUACUUAAAAGAUGUUUAAAAAGGUGUUUAAAAGACAUUGGGCUUAGGAACAUGGUAUAGUGGUGGACUUCACAGUGCUGUGUUAACAGUUGGACAAGAUGAUCUUAAAGUCUUUUCCAAUCUAAAUGGUUCUAUAAUUCUAUGGUUCUCUGAAAGGAAAAAUGGAAGUCUGACAGAAAUAGGCUAAUAUGGGAUUUAAGAGGAGGCUGAAAGGAGAAGUUAUUUGGGCAGGAGAGAGGUGGGAAGGCACAGAAGAAAGAAGGGAAGUGUAUAAUGUGUAGGUGUGAAAAGAGAAACAGCAUUCAGAAUUAAAAAAAACAACCUCUUUUCUUGACCUUCUUCUAACUAUCUCUUCUACCAUGGAGAUGUUACUUGUGGGGAAGAAAACGACUUCUGUCUGCACCACUUCGAAGUUUAUUGAGGCCACGUCCUUUUCCAGUCUCAUCUUGUGAUGCAGGAGUGUCUCCAUCUUCACGAGCUCCUCUUGCAUGUGUUCUGCCAAGACACCCCCAUCUCCCAUGAGCCUGCACCCAGCACAGCUUUCUACCACAGCCCUUUGCUGGAAGAAGGGGUGACAGGGAUCCCCUAGCCACAGCUGGAACAAAGAAUCUGUGCAAAAGCAUUGACACAGCUUCUGGGAAGUGGGAGUAAGGGAAAGGAGGAAGUGGUGGUAAGCUAAGAAUUUAAUUCUGAUGUUUUUUGCUAUCAUGUACUUAGUAUCAUGAUGCCGUCGUGAUAAUAAGUCCAAAAGCACCAAAAGUGGAAAAAUAAAUCAGUGUGGGAGAAGAUAGGAGGAAUUUGGAAUGUCUUCCAAAUAUUGACAUUUCUUUCCAUGUACCUAAGGCUGAAAUUUGAACUGCAUAGGUAUAGACAGUAUGCUAACAAUUAGAAAUAUAUUUUAAAUAUUUGCGCAGUUUUCUGAAAACCCAUUUCUGCAGCUUGCUGCAAAGUGACAGCUAAGGAAGCAGAUAUCCUGAGUACCUGACACUUUUUUUCUAGUGUAGCCAAACAAUAAAAAGAAGUUAAAAGAUUAGGCUCUUUUUGAACUCAGAUUUCCUGAAAUUAAAUGUGAAUUAGAAUUAGCGAUUCUGAACAUAAGCACAGUUUUGUGAAUACAGUAAGUGCAUCUUGGCAAAUUAAAUUUGUGGUGAUAAAACAGGUGGACUGGCUCAAAGUCACUUCAGAACAUUUAUGGUAUGAUACUUUCCUUCAGUCAUGUGUUCCACUUGGAAGUUCUGUAUCUGAAAUAACUGUUCUGGCACUUCAGAAUACUUCCUUUAGAAAUCAUUGACAAUUUUAACAGGAACUGAAUUUUAAAAAUAAACAUACUUAUUCUUCACCUUUAUGUACCACUAAAGCUGAAGUGGUUUGCAGUUACAGAGCCUAUCAAAUACAGUGAAUUUGAAGGCUUUUGGGAAAGAGUUUUUUCUUAAAAGUGCAGUAAUAGAAUGAGUUCCUGCUUAGAACUGAAACAAUGUGUCAUAUUUUCAGAAUUAAAUCAAUAGAGGUGUUUGCACAGCAGUGCUUUUGCCAUGUUCAGUGCUAGUGGAAAUGCCAAAACAUGGUCAUAAAGAAAGGAGCCACUGUGUUUGGUGUUACUGUGAACUGGAGCCUUUUUGGGGACAGCAGCAGCAACAAACAACUGUAAUACCUCCCACCCUCCCAUAAUCUGUGAAGUUUUAGGACAUGAAUCGUUGCCUUACUGUUCUCUCUUGCACUUUAGUCUGCAUGGAGGAAUUUUACAUCGCCUGUAAAGAAAAUCCUCCCACAUACAGUAAGGUAUUACUGCAUAGUACAGGUUUGCUUUAGACCAGGCAGAGAAUCAUUUAGGUUGAUGUUGGUUUAGGUAGUUAAGUUUGUAGUACUUCCGAACACUGUUUGUUAAAGGUGAUGAAGGUAUUUAAAUCCACUGCACUAGAGCACAGACUCAAAGAAGUUGGGAAACUUGGACAAUAUCAAACACAAGCUUUGAAAAACCUCUUAGUACCAGACUUCUCCUGCUUCCUACAGAUUAGGCCUCCUGCUGACUAUUUGUACUUUUUAAAUGUAUAAGAGAUUUAAGCUUUAAUGUCUGCAGCUCAGUUCACCUACCUUUGAAACAGCAGUGGUAAUUCUGACUUAAAUAUUGUGAUGAUACAUUAAUAAAUAUGAGCAAAACUCUUUGAAGUUGA